CCGCAAUUGAGUUACGAUGAAUUACCUACUCGCCCAGCAGUCCAACCUGCU
rnacentral:lncRNA from 1 species